rnacentral:rRNA from 1 species
GAUGAACGCUGGCGGUGUGCCUAAUACAUGCCAGUCGAGUGAACAGACGAGGAGCUUACUCCUCUGACGUUAGCGGCGGACGGGUGAGUAACACGUGGAUAACCUACCUAUAAGACUGGGAUAACUUCGGGAAACCGGAGCUAAUACCGGAUAACAUGUUGAACCGCAUGGUUCAACAGUGAAAGACGGUCUUGCUGUCACUUAUAGAUGGAUCCGCGUCGCAUUAGCUAGUUGGUAAGGUAACGGCUUACCAAGGCAACGAUGCGUAGCCGACCUGAGAGGGUGAUCGGCCACACUGGAACUGAGACACGGUCCAGACGCCUACGGGAGGCAGCAGUAGGGAAUCUUCCGCAAUGGGCGAAAGCCUGACGGAGCAACGCCGCGUGAGUGAAGAAGGUCUUCGGAUCGUAAAACUCUGUUAUUAGGGAAGAACAAAUGUGUAAGUAACUAUGCACGUCUUGACGGUACCUAAUCAGAAAGCCACGGCUAACUACGUG